CCCUCCACCAUUUUGUGGCCCGCUAUGGCGGCGGUGUUGAGGUUGGGUCCGGGAUGUGGGGCCUUUGACUGAAGGGGUAGGCCAAGUGGAGGUAUCAGGGACGUCGCGCGGCACAGAAGAGGACCAGCCUGGACGCCGGGGACGCUGUCAUGUACGGCGCGGGCGGGGGCCGCGCCAAACCCGAGAGGAAAAGCGGCGCGAAGGAGGAGGCCGGGCCAGGCGGUGCCGGCGGUGGGGGCAGCCGAGUGGAGCUCUUGGUUUUCGGCUAUGCCUGCAAGCUGUUCCGGGACGACGAGCGGGCCCUGGCUCAGGAACAGGGACAGCACCUCAUCCCCUGGAUGGGGGACCACAAGAUCCUCAUCGACAGGUCGGUUCCUCCCCCCACCCGUCGAUCCUUCCCUUCCCUCACCCGCUUGAUCUCGUCUGAUGUUGACUUGAUUGCAAGGACUGCAGAGGGUUUUCUGGAGCCAGCGGGGAUCUGGGGGACACCCCCUCCCCUGUCCCCACCUCCUCCUGGUGUUCUGGUGGGGAGGGGGACGGUGAAACCUGCCCUAAGGCACUCGCUGGAAUUGCGUGCCGCGUCCGUCUCCAGAGGGAUCGUCUCUGGUCCCGCAGCCCCUCUCGAUCCCUCACCCUGUCGCUGGGCUGCAGUUGGCGAUUCCGCGCGGUGAAAGCAGCCAGUGCCCAGGGUCUCUUCCUGAGCGCACCUGGGCCUGCCGCCCGGCGAUGCCAUGGGGUCGUGCGCUGCUUUUCUACUCGCCGCGCUCUCACUGCUGGGUGUACUGGGAGGGUAGCCUGGGAGGCGUGCCUUUAUUCUUCCGAACCGCCGCUCACUGAGACAGUGGCUAGAAGUGUCUCUUGGACCCUGUGAGUUAGCCUUAACCUGUUAUGCCCCCCAGAGCCCUCAGUGGAGCGCCCGUACUUUGCCGGCAUGACGUUUGAUUUCCCGGUGAUAAUCCGACGAGUUUGACAGAUUGAGGUAGUGAGCAAAGUUGCCCGUCAGUUGGCGGCCACUUGACUUCGUGCGGACCCUGGCCUUGCUCUUGGAAGAGAUAGUGUUCUUAGGGCUGGUUUCACUGUCUCUUAAAACUGAAGGGUGGAGCUGGGAUAUAGAUGUGUUGUUUCUUUUCAAAUCAAACCUGCUUUAGGUCGUCACUCGAGGGUGUCUAGCGAUUAUGGGCAGUGGGGGCCUGGGAUUAGGGAUUUCUAAAGGCGUUUGAUUUGAAAAGGAUAACAUUACAUGAUGUAGGUGGUUUGCUCCCCUCUUUCUUCCCAUUUUUUCAAUCCCCCUUCCCCUCGUCUCUGGGUUUUGGGGUUGUUGUGGGGUAGUUUUUUUCUUUUUUGCCUGUUCGGCUACUUCUGGGGCCCGGACUGAAAAGCUAACCAUGACCAGCCAUUAAACUGUGGAAUAGUUUCUCCACGUGAAGAAAGCCCAUCGUUUGAGACCAUUAAAACUGGAUUCUUCAUAGCCCUGGAGCAUGACUGUAGGGAUGACCUCUGAGCUGGCCAGAAUGGACCCAUUAAUGACCAAAUAGGCCUUUUUCCAUCCCUGACGUUUCCUCUUGGAAUUAGAGCUCGAAAACAAGAACUGGUGAAGGGAGGGCCGCGGAAUCAGAUCAUGUCUGGAUCUGAUGGCUCCGUGCUGUGCUCAAGCGUGCUGUGCCUUCACACCAUGGUUUAUAUUGAAUAUGUCGCCUGAGUUGUCAGGCUUGCUUUUCCAAAGUGUCACUUGUGAUAUUUAUCAUUAAAGUUUGGUAAGCAAUGAAGUCUGAGCUCUUUGUACAGUUUUCCUGUCAUUCUGUACAUGAUUUGAGUUAGGUCUUCCAAAACUGGUGGGGAGCAAACGCCGCACAUGUACAUGUAUAAUAUUUUUAAUAAUAAUCUACAUUUGUAAGUUAAGGAGGUUUACAUCAAAGUCCAAUUAAUUUUUAAAUUUAAUGAAAUGCAGUAACUUGACUACCUUGGAAUUUUGGGCCUUUUUCCUGUAAAUGUCUUUUUUGGUCUACAUUAAAAUUUUUGGUUCCCCUUACAAAAGUCAGCAUUAAAAAAAUAAGCAGACUUUUGUUUGUUUCUCUACAUUUGUUUUUGAAACCCUAAACCUGAGUGUUUUAAGUAAAAUUCACUCACUCACUCAUUUAUUAUCUGACAGUUACACGUUGACAGCACCCUCAUUGAAUCCUUUAUGUUAAAAACAUAGCAGAAAGUGCUCCCAUUACUUAUUUGGCCAAACUACUGUUCGGUCCAUGCAAGAGAAACGUGGAAGUGUCUUCAUGUAUGUUAUUUCCUUGAGGGUAUAAAGUUCAGAAGGAAAUAUUGAUACCGUAUCUUCUAAUAGUUUUGCUCUGUUCCCAGUGAACCUCCUUAAACUGCAUGUAUAUGUCACUGUUCCGAUGUAUGUGUGUCUCUCUAUCACGUAACCCAGCACUUAUUUCCUCAGCCAAGUGGCUAGGGGGCGAGCCUAGCCAAGAUUUUACCUCCAAUGGACGCAAGUUUCUUUGGUGAAGAUCUCUCCUGAGAGUUCGGGACUAGCAGAAAGAAGCGAGGAAAUUUCGACCGUUUGGUUCUUACGGAUAGGUAUUUAUGUAUUUGGUUUGUGUGAAUGUAAGCUAUGAUAUUUAACUUUUCAGAAAAAAAUAAUAAUUUUUUGCAAGUGGCAUUGAAUGGUUGACCAAACCAUAAUGGUAAGAACUGCCAGUGAAGUGGAUACCAUUUUUGCUAUUAAUGGAUUGUUUGCCUUUAGUUAUAAAUGUUAUCUUACUGUGGAAAGGCAUUUAGAGUUUGUUAAGAUAACUUGAGUUUAAAAGUAGGUGAGAUAUGACUAUCCAAAUUAAAUAUAAAUCUGGGAAGAGUUUUUAUACUUGUUUUAAUAUUUUUAUUUAUUUUAAUUGGUAAGUAUGUGUGUAUCUAUAUAUACAUAUAUAAAACAUCACACAUGCACACCAGUCUAGACGUUAAUUUCCUUUUAUUGACCAGCUUGUUCACAUUACAGAUAUGAUGGACGUGGUCACCUGCAUGACCUUUCUGAGUACGAUGCUGAGUAUUCCACGUGGAACAGAGAUUAUCAGCUGUCUGAAGAGGAGGCGCGAAUAGAGGCCCUGUGUGAUGAAGAGAGAGGAAGAAUACAAGCGAUUGAGUGAAGCACUAGCAGAGGAUGGGAGCUACAAUGCCGUGGGGUUCACUUACGGUAGCGACUAUUACGACCCGUCAGAGCCAACAGAGGAGGAGGAGCCUUCCAAACAGAGAGAAAAAAAUGAGGCUGAAAAUUUAGAGGAAAAUGAAGAGCCCUUCGUUGCCCCCUUAGGAUUGAGCGUCCCGUCUGACGUGGAGUUGCCACCAACCGCUAAAAUGCACGCCAUCAUCGAGCGCACGGCCAGCUUCGUGUGCAGGCAGGGAGCACAGUUUGAGAUCAUGCUGAAGGCCAAGCAGGCCCGGAACUCCCAGUUCGACUUUCUGCGCUUCGACCACUACCUCAACCCCUACUAUAAGUUCAUCCAGAAAGCCAUGAAGGAGGGACGCUACACCAUCCUGGCAGAAA
rnacentral:sRNA from 1 species